rnacentral:rRNA from 1 species
UACGUAGGGGGGCUAGCGUUGUCCGGAAUCAUUGGGCGUAAAGAGCGUGUAGGCGGUCCGGUAAGUCCGCUGUGAAAGUCGGGGGCUCAACCUCGAAUGCCGAUGGAUACUGUCGGGUUAGAGUGCGGAAGAGGCGAGUGGAAUUCCUGGUGUAGCGGUGAAAAUGCGCAGAUAUCAGGAGGAACACCUAUUGCGAAGGCAGUCGCUGGGACGUAGCUGACGCUGAGACGCGAAAAGCGUGGGGGAGCAAAACGGG